rnacentral:rRNA from 1 species
CCUACGGGUGGCAGCAGUGAGGAAUAUUGGUCAAUGGACGAGAGUCUGAACCAGCCAAGUAGCGUGAAGGAUGACUGCCCUAUGGGUUGUAAACUUCUUUUAUAAAGGAAUAAAACGAGGCACGUGUGCCUUUUUGCAUGUACUUUAUGAAUAAGGAUCGGCUAACUCUGUGCCAGCAGCCGCGGUAAUACGGAGGAUCCGAGCGUUAUCCGGAUUUAUUGGGUUUAAAGGGAGCGUAGAUGGGUUGUUAAGUCAGUUGUGAAAGGUUGCGGCUCAACCGUAAAAUUGCAAUUGAUACUGGCAGUCUUGAGUACAGUUGGGGUAGGCGGAAUUCGUGGUGUAGCGGUGAAAUGCUUAGAUAUCACGAAGAACCCCGAUUGCGAAGGCAGCUUACUAAACUGUGACUGACAUUGAUGCUCGAAAGUGUGGGUAUCAAACAGGAUUAGAUACCCGAGUAGUC